rnacentral:rRNA from 1 species
CAAGUCGCACGAGAAAGUGGAGCAAUCCAUGAGUAAAGUGGCGUACGGGUGAGUAACACGUGACUAACCUACCUUCGAGUGGGGAAUAACUUCGGGAAACCGAGGCUUAAUACCGCAUAACAUCUUUUGGUUGAGAUACCGAUUGAUCAAACCAGUAAUGGGCUUGAAGAGGGGGUCGCGGCUGAUUAGCUAGUUGGUGGGGUAACGGCCCACCAAGGCGAUGAUCAGUAGCCGGCCUGAGAGGGCGCACGGCCACACUGGAACUGAAACACGGUCCAGACUCCUACGGGAGGCAGCAGUGGGGAAUUUUGCGCAAUGGGGGAAACCCUGACGCAGCAACGCCGCGUGGAGGAUGAAGUCCCUUGGGACGUAAACUCCUUUCGAUCGGGACGAUUAUGACGGGCCGGAAGAAA